rnacentral:rRNA from 1 species
AGUGAACGCUGGCGGUAGGCCUAACACAUGCAAGUCGAACGGCAGCACAGUAAUAGCUUGCUCUUACGGGUGGCGAGUGGCGGACGGGUGAGGAAUACAUCGGAAUCUACUUUUUCGUGGGGGAUAACGUAGGGAAACUUACGCUAAUACCGCAUACGACCUACGGGUGAAAGCAGGGGAUCUUCGGACCUUGCGCGAUUGAAUGAGCCGAUGUCGGAUUAGCUAGUUGGCGGGGUAAAGGCCCACCAAGGCGACGAUCCGUAGCUGGUCUGAGAGGAUGAUCAGCCACACUGGAACUGAGACACGGUCCAUACUCCUACGGGAGGCAGCAGUGGGGAAUAUUGGACAAUGGGCGCAAGCCUGAUACAGCCGUACCGCGUGGGUGAAGAAGGCCUUCGGGUUGUAAAGCCCUUUUGUUGGGAAAAAAAAGCGGCAGGUUAAUACCCCGCUGUUCUGACGGUACCCAAAGAAUAAGCACCGGCUAACUUCGUG